GACGAAGGGGGCUAGCGUUGUUCGGAAUUACUGGGCGUAAAGCGCGUGUAGGCGGUUGUCCAAGUUGGAUGUGAAAGCCUUGAGCUUAACUCAAGAAAUGCAUUCAGGACUGGGCGGCUAGAGGACCGGAGAGGAUAGUGGAAUUCCCAGUGUAGUGGUGAAAUACGUAGAGAUUGGGAAGAACACCAGUGGCGAAGGCGGCUAUCUGGACGGUUUCUGACACUAAGACUCGAAAGCGUGGGGAGCAAACAGG
rnacentral:rRNA from 1 species